UACAUACUGUGCGAACGUUAUUCGGAUUCACUGGGCUUAAAGGGUGCGUAGGCGGCUUGUUAAGUAGGGUGUGAAAGCCCCCAGCUCAACUGGGGAACUGCACUCUAUACUGGCGAGCUGGAGUGAGAUAGGGGUGUGUGGAACUGCCAGUGGAGCGGUGAAAUGUGUUGAUAUUGGCAGGAACGCCGGUGGCGAAAGACGACACACUGGGUCUCAACUGACGCUGAGGGCACGAAAGCCAGGGAGCGAACGGG
rnacentral:rRNA from 1 species